rnacentral:misc_RNA from 1 species
GACAACCACCAUUCACUUUCAUCAACUGGAGAGAUAUCAGGCAUUAAAUCUCACAAUUGCUGGAUGUUAAUAGUUGACUGUGAGGUCAUCACCUUACUCUGGCAGUUUCAACCAACAGCAUUCCUAUCGACCCCGUGGACCUACUGGUCCAUCAAAUUGGGGUCCAUGAGGCCCUCAUUCAUCACAGCCAAGUCCUUAUGAUUAUCAUCACCGAGGACCUUAUCCUUCUCAAAG